GACGAACGCUGGCGGCGUGCUUAACACAUGCAAGUCGAACGGAAAGGCCCUGCUUUUGUGGGGUGCUCGAGUGGCGAACGGGUGAGUAACACGUGAGUAACCUGCCCUUGACUUUGGGAUAACUUCAGGAAACUGGGGCUAAUACCGGAUAGGAGCUCCUGCUGCAUGGUGGGGGUUGGAAAGUUUCGGCGGUUGGGGAUGGACUCGCGGCUUAUCAGCUUGUUGGUGGGGUAGUGGUUUACCAAGGCUUUGACGGGUAGCCGGCCUGAGAGGGGGACCGGCCACAUUGGGACUGAGAGACGGCCCAGACUCCUACGGGAGGCAGCAGUGGGGAAUAUUGCACAAUGGGCGGAAGCCUGAUGCAGCAACGCCGCGUGCGGGAUGACGGCCUUCGGGUUGUAAACCGCUUUCGACUGUGACGAAGCGUGAGUGACGGUAAUGGGUAAAGAAGCACCGGCUAACUACGUG
rnacentral:rRNA from 1 species